UACGUAGGGGGCAAGCGUUGUCCGGAUUCAUUGGGCGUAAAGAGCUCGUAGGCGGCUUGGCAAGUCGGGUGUGAAACCUCCAGGCUCAACCUGGAGACGCCACCCGAUACUGCCAUGGCUAGAGUCCGGUAGGGGACCACGGAAUUCCUGGUGUAGCGGUGAAAUGCGCAGAUAUCAGGAGGAACACCGGUGGCGAAGGCGGGUCUCUGGGCCAUUACUGACGCUGAGGAGCGAAAGCGUGGGGAGCGAACAGG
rnacentral:rRNA from 1 species